AGCUCCAAUAGCGUAUAUUAAAGUUGUUGCAGUUAAAAAGCUCGUAGUUGAACCUGUGGCUGACACUGGCUGCCGGACCCUUCUGGGGUCUUGGAGCAGACCGGUGUUGCCAUCCUUGGGCAAAGUCUGUGUGGCAUUAGGUUGUCGUGCAGGGGAUGUCCAUCGUUUACUGUGAAAAAAUUAGGGUGUUCAAAGCAGGCUUAUGCCGUUGAAUAUAUUAGCAUGGAAUAAUGAGAUAGGACCCUGGUUCUAUUUUGUUGGUUUGCGUGUCGGGGUAAUGGUUAAUAGGGACGGUUGGGGGUAUUCGUAUUCCACUGUCAGAGGUGAAAUUCUUGGAUUUUUGGAAGACGAACUACUGCGAAAGCAUUUACCAAGGAUGUUUUCAUUAAUCAAGAACGAA
rnacentral:rRNA from 1 species